rnacentral:rRNA from 1 species
CCUUACCUACCCUUGACAUGGUCGGAAUCCUGAAGAGAUUUAGGAGUGCUCGAAAGAGAACCGACACACAGGUGCUGCAUGGCUGUCGUCAGCUCGUGUCGUGAGAUGUUGGGUUAAGUCCCGCAACGAGCGCAACCCUUGUCAUUAGUUGCUACGAAAGGGCACUCUAAUGAGACUGCCGGUGACAAACCGGAGGAAGGUGGGGAUGACGUCAAGUCCUCAUGGCCCUUAUGGGUAGGGCUUCACACGUCAUACAAUGGUACAUACAGAGGGCUGCCAACCCGCGAGGGGGAGCUAAUCCCAGAAAGUGUAUCGUAGUCCGGAUUGUAGUCUGCAACUCGACUACAUGAAGUUGGAAUCGCUAGUAAUCGCGGAUCAGCAUGUCGCGGUGAAUACGUUCCCGGGUCUUGUACACACCGCCCGUCACACCAUGGGAGCGGGUUUUACCAGAAGUGGGUAGCCUAACCGCAAGGAGGGCGCUUACCACGGUAGGAUUCGUGACUGGGGUGAAGUCGUAACAAGGUAGGCGUAGUGCU